UACGGGGGGAGCAAGCGUUGUUCGGAUUUACUGGGCGUAAAGGGCGCGUAGGCGGCCAGCACAAGUCAGUUGUGAAAUCUCCGAGCUUAACUCGGAAAGGUCAACUGAUACUGUGCGGCUAGAGUGCGGAAGGGGCAACUGGAAUUCUUGGUGUAGCGGUGAAAUGCGUAGAUAUCAAGAAGAACACCUGCGGCGAAGGCGGGUUGCUGGGCCGACACUGACGCUGAUGCGCGAAAGCUAGGGGAGCGAACGGG
rnacentral:rRNA from 1 species